rnacentral:tRNA from 1 species
AUCUUUUUAGUAUAAACCUAAUACAAGUGACUUCCAAUUACUUAAUCUUGGUUAAACUCCAAGUAAAGAUA